GGGGGGGGGGGUCACCUUAGUUUUGACUUUUGAGACGAGAAAACCUAAAAUCAUUCUUUUUCUUCCGAGACGCUGGCCGAGAAGGUUACUCUAGACAUCAUUGCUGGGUACUAUCUUUCCUGACAUUGUUCUACAUAAAAAAAGGUUGGUGGAGAUUUUUCUCAACGUCCAGUGCCAAAUUGACAAGAUGUCUGAUGUAUCAUGUUGCGAGAUGAAAAUGGGAAGAAAACAGGAAAUCUGAAAAAUGAUUCCUUGGUCCAGUUUGGCGUUGGUGGUGAUUCUGGUGUGCAGUGGUGUGGCAGUCAUUUUCUGAUUGAAAGAUGCACUGAAAUGCAUUUUCUGCAGACCUGCAAUUCAACAUCCGACAUCAAUUUACCAUGUUGGUGUUCCUGCAGUGUUUGAACUGUUGUGUGAAAUAGUUGGUGUUGCCUUAUGGUUGUCUUGCAUUAAGGUGUCGUCUCUUGCGACUUUUACCCACGUUAAGUUCGAUCGUGUGCCGCUGUUUCAGACUUGAUCUAUUGUUGAAGCUGAGGAGUUGCUGAAAUUCAAGACUGAUAAAUCAUUAGAUAAUUAAAAAUGAAAAUCUUUUGUCCCUUUUCCCUAAGUAAACGAAAUAUCCUGUUGGUUAGUUUGAAAACUAGGAAUGUUAUAAUAAUGGGGAAUUGCAACGAGUAAGAAAAGUUAACCACCAAGAUUCUUUUAUUCCGAUGAACUCUACCGCCUUCACAAAUAUUCUUAAACAUUUCGCUCUUAAUCAAUAUUAUUGCCUCGUUAAAAAAAUAAAUUGCUGAAACCAAAA